ensembl:lncRNA
AAGAAAGGAGAAAGUGAACCUAGCACCCAAGUGCAGGUUCCAAUGGGAGCAGAGGAAGCUCCAAGAAAGAGCACAGCUUUUGUGUAUGAUCUGUUGCACGCAGGUGUAUGAAAUUUUGUUAUCUAUAAAACUGUUUAUGGAGCAAUACACUUGCAUACCAGGGUCUGAGAUGGGGAUGAAGCUUCAGAGAUGAAAGAUAUGGUGUUAGGAGACUAGAUCUGGUCGGAAGCCAGGCUGCAAGCUCCUGAGGACAGCUGGCAUCCCUGAGCUCGCUCGCUACUGGAUCCCCAGCAGUUAAAAUGAUGAAUGAAUGAGUAACUGCAAUUCAGUGGAGUCGGUUGACUCAAGGAUGGACUUAAGUCAGAGAGCUGAGCAAGAGGCUCGGGAAGGGAAGAGCCAGGCAGGAGGAACAGCGUGUGCAAAGACAUGAUGGUGAGGCUUGGAUUGGGCAAGAGCUUGGAUUCUUUCAGGAAGCCCUUGGAGGAUUCUAAGUAUCCAACCAACAUGAUCUGAUUUGCAUUUUAGAUCAUCUAUAUGGAGAAUGCCUUUGUUCAUUCUACUUCUUAACACAUUUCAUAAACAAGCCCUGCUGUACACGAGCGCUGCGCUGGGUCUAGACAGGCCCCAUCCAGAGGAAACACAAUUCUUUGAAAUCUGGAGUUUUACUUGUACAGCACAUCUCCAUGUGUCCUUGGCACAUUUCAAGUGUUCAGUGUCUCCGAGACAAGCCGCUGCCAUACUGAAUGGUGUACGGGGUACCAAACGUGUGGCCAAGGGGCAACUGGCAAUACCAGGAGACAUUUUGACUGUCACAACUUGGGGAAAGGGUACUCCUGGCAUCUCAUGAGUAGAGGCCACAGAUGCUGCUAACAUGGCGCAUGGCACAGCAACAAAGAUUUAUCCAGCCAGAAACAUCAGCAGUACUGAGGUUGAAGAACCCAGAUCCAGAGAGAUGCCAUAGAGUCUUGCAGUGAGCCCUGAGAUGCCCUGGCAUUUAAGGUCACUCAGCGAUCUGGUCCAUAUAUAUAAAGAAGCCAAUGGAGUUUCCCAUGAUUCAACCCUGAAAUCAUUAGACAGGAUUACCCAAAUAUGAAGGCUGCUGAAAGUUGGACUUCUCCAAUUUCCCACUGCACAGAGCUUGCUUGGUUACAUCCCACUGUCCAGGAAGUGCCUGCGCGAGAGUGUCUGCCGAGAAAGGGCAGACCAUCAGAGAGGUGUGCAGGGAAGCACACUUUCAUCAGCCGAUCGGCUUUUGAGAUGGUUCGGGAGCCCAGAGCCCGAUUGUAUUACACAUUGCCCUGAAAUGCGCCUUGUUCAGUUUUCUCCACCUCCCCCUACUCCUUUCUUUUCUUUGAGUGUUUUCAAAAUGAAAGAGUUUUUUCUUCCAAAUUGCACUGGGAGGCAAAUUCUUGAACGGUGUAAUAGAAAAUGUUAGACAAUAUUCCUUACCGGAGCUAUUGACAUUUUGGAUAGUUGUGACACUUUGAUUUUUCUCAAAACAUAUGGAUCAAGCCUGGCUGCAUUAUUGGACAGGAAGUCCUGAUGAAAGGCCUUCCUUUAUCUUUCUUUGUAUUUCCCCCCUCUGUUUGCUCAUGGCUUUCUCUCUGAAUAUAAUCGUGG